rnacentral:pre_miRNA from 1 species
CUAGGGAAGGGAAAGAAUGAGAGGGUUCAAGAAAUCAAGAGAAGGGGGAACAGGAACAUGGUGGAAAGCAUGAGCUCUAAACUUCUUCGACGUUCGGCUUUUUGUUUUUCUGAUGCCUCGCAUUCCUAUUGUUCUUGGGUGCUCCUUCCCCUUCCUUCUCGUC